AACGCACAUUGCGCCCUCUGGUAUUCCGGGGGGCAUGCCUGUUCGAGCGUCAUUACAACCACUCAAGCUCACGCUUGGUCUUGGGGUUCGCGAUUCCGCGGCCUCUAAAAUCAGUGGCGGUGCCUGUCGGCUCUACGCGUAGUAAUACUCCUCGCGUUUGAGUCCGGUAGGUUUACUUGCCAGCAACCCCCAAUUUUUACAGGUUGACCUCGGAUCAGGUAGGGAUACCCGCUGAACUUAA
rnacentral:misc_RNA from 2 species